GACCUUCGGGGAGCUUGCACAGGUGCUGCAUGGCUGUCGUCAGCUCGUGUCGUGAGAUGUUGGGUUAAGUCCCGCAACGAGCGCAACCCUCGACCUUAGUUGCCAGCAUUCAGUUGGGCACUCUAAGGUGACUGCCGGCUAAAAGUCGGAGGAAGUGGGGAUGACGUCAAAUCAUCAUGCCCCUUAUGACCUGGGCUACACACGUGCUACAAUGGGCGGUACAAAGGGUCGCGAACCCGCGAGGGGGAGCCAAUCCCAAAAAGCCGCUCUCAGUUCGGAUUGCAGGCUGCAACUCGCCUGCAUGAAGCCGGAAUCGCUAGUAAUCGCGGAUCCAGCAUGCCGCGGUCGAAUACGUUCCCGGGCCUU
rnacentral:rRNA from 1 species